CGGGUCCCCUUCCACACUGUGGAAGCUUUGUUCUUUCACUCUUCACAAUAAAUCUUGCUGCUGCUCACUCUUUGGGUCCUCACUACCUUUAUGAGCUGUAACCCUCACCACAACGGUCUGCAGCUUCACUCCUGAAGUCAGCGAGAGCACAAACCCACUGGGAGGAAUGAACAACUCCAGACAUGCCACCUUAAGAGCAGUAACACUCACUGUGAAGGUCUGCAGCUUCACUUCUGAAGUCAGCAAGACCACGAACCCACCAGAAGGAAGAAACUCCAGACAUAUAUGAACAUCUGAAGGAACAACUCCGGACACACCAUCUUUAAGAACUGUAACACUCACUGCGAGGGUCCGCAGCUUUAUUCUUGAAGUCGGCGAGACCAAGAACCCACCAGAAGGAACCAAUUCAGGACACAGAUUUGUAGGGUGCAGACCUGCAUAGUGAAACUACCCACAGCAAGGAUGUAUGCCUGUGAGUUGGCACAGAAUCGGUGGAUCAGACUUGGCCUUCAACCUCCUGUUAUCCUGAUGAAAUUGCAAGCUCCAAACAACAGAGACACAACAUUGACCAACAGUAAGAUGCUUGAAGAAAUAUUUCUUUCAGGACAAACUCUGUGCAUCCCAUGAGGGUGGAUGGAUGGACUGAUGAGGACAAAGCCAGUGACAUCAUGAGCAGGAAACAAUGUUUCUCUCAAGCUGCAGCUUCAAAAUGUCAAACAGCCUCUUCCUUGGCUGACAACUGCUUUCUGACUCAACGGGAGACCUUGUUCUCCAACGUCAGGGGCUGUCAGAAACUUUGCUUAUGAGUAAGAAGAACAUCCCAGUUCUUGGAGGAUCUACAUCCACCUCUUCACAGAAGCACAGAGCUACAGAGAAGGGGUUUCUGGAUGGAACAUUCCAAAUCUGGCAGGACUUUAUGGGUUCUAAGGACACAAGACCUAGGUCCACUUUGCAGAGCAGAUUUGACACUGGCUGCUUUACACUAAGACCUGCCAUGCUCUGAGUCCAUCACUACAGCCUCAAAAAUCCCUCCCCACAGUCUUAUAAUAUUCUCUUUGCUUUGUUUUUUGAAUCAUCCCAGGUUGGUUGAUGUGAAUUUAUUCCCUUUUUGCUACAAGCCAAUAGUCUGUUGACUGCAAAAUCAGUUUUGGUGACUGACUGCACUAAGAUAUAUAUUAUUUUUCUGGAAUUUGGGAUGAUUGUAGUAUUUAUUAGGACUUUAAGAUGAGUAAUUUGUUGUGACUUAUUUCCUCUUCUUAAAUAAACACUAACUUUUGUGCUUAGUUUCUGAUUGGUUAUAUUAUGCUAUUUUUCAUGCAGAUAACUCUGUGUAUUAUGUAAGCCUUAGACCUCACGGAACCUGGGUUGUCUGUGGUCAUAGUGCUGAGAAUCCACCUGCCCAGGGAAUGACUGCACUGGUUCCUGCUUCCCAGGCCUCCAAUGGACUUAUCCCUCCUUUCAGAGUGAUUUGUUUAUGCUGAAGGUGGAGUUUCUAACUUCAGCGGUUUUAGUCUUUUAGCAAGAAUUUGUGACAUUAUUUUUGCUAAAGGAACUCUUAGAAGGGGUGCAAUAUUUUCAAAACAUGACCCUCAUGAGACUUCUUUACUCCAAAGACCCAGUAGCUUCUGGACAGGGCCCAGACUCUCAGCUUGUUCCAGAAGAGAAAGACCCACAUGCUCACCUUCAAGCCUCCCUGCCCCCAGCUCCCCUCCUAGGGAACAGACACACAGGGAGAUGGUGGAGGGAGCCUUCUACAGAGCCAGACUUCCCCCUCCACUUUCCCAGGAAGAGAGAUGUCAGAAAAGUUACUGGUUUACAGAAAAUCACCUGUUCCUUGUGUCCUUGGAUGGUGGUUGCUUAUGUCAAGACAGACCCUUCCCCAGGUAGAGAACCAUGAGGAUCUCCAUGCAGGGAAGACUUCACCCCUAACCACCAUUCCCUGGCACCUGCUGUUCUGCUCUCAGCCCCUCUCUUCCAACAGAAGCCUAAAUCAGUGUGUGUGACCCCCGACCACCUGACACUGGGUGAGGCCCAGACUCAGAUCUCCUCAGCUCAUGGUCUCCUGGGUGCUGCUUCACUUUCUUCAAUCCAAAACCUUGGUUAAAUCCCUUGGGGGUGGAGAGGAAAUGAAGAACAUGCGCCCCACUCUCCCUGCUAGACCAUUCUCCUCCUGGCUUUCUAUGUGCGGCACAUGGGGUGCUGGCCUCAGGGCUGUUUUGGCAGUUUCCCCUUUGUCUUUUCCCCCUCGGUGUUCAUGGCAGCCACCCUUGGUCAACACAGCUCUAGGUAUGGAAGAUAGUUGAGAGCCCUUCCCAGAGGCACCUGCCCUGAGGGCUGCACCCCCUGCCCUGAAAUGGCAAAGGGAAGGGCCUUGCAGGGUGGGCUGGGUCUUAGGACUGUAGCUUCUUCUUUGGAGCACAACUACCCACUAUUCUAGAGAAUGGUUUUGACACUAAGGUGAUGUUAUUUAUUAAUUAAAACAUCCUUUGUGAAAAAAAUGAGUGUCCACUGUAUGUCACUUUCAUUUGUGUUUUAACUUCUCCAUCCCUGUCAAGAAGCCUGACCUGAGUGCUUCUUUUAAAUCCAAGUCCAGAGAAAGGGCGGCUGGAUGUGAACGUGUAAAACUCUUCUAGGGCACAGCUUCCUAGCAUAGGAGACAACCUCCCAGCAUGGGCGCACCCUCCCAGGAUGGAUGACAGCAGUCUCUGCUUUCUCUGUGUGAUGUUGCCCAUCUUUUGUCUGGGUGGCAUUUUUCCCAAUCAGCUAUACACACUCACACACACACACACACACACACAAAUUUGUGUUCUUUGUUUCCAUGUAGGGGCCUAAAGUCUCUUGUGGAAAGAACCACACAUCGAUCGCUAUCUAUUUAGUGUCUAGGGCAUUUGAUGAGAGCAGCUCAGUCCCUGUAAGGAAGGAGACCACUGGUACUCCUGCUGCCCUCUUCCCUCCACCUUGCCUAGUUCACAAGACAGGAGGAGAGAAAAAGCAAAAGGUUGGAAAAAAACAAAAGUAAGAUAAAUAGCCAGACAACCUUGGCACCACCACCUGGCUCUAGGAGUUAAAAAAAGUAAUAAUAGUAACAUCAACCCCUGACCCAAACUACUUGUGGUAUCUGUAAAUUCCAGACACUGUAUGAAAAAAGCACUGUAAAACUUUUUGUUCUGUUAGCUGAUGCAUGUAGCCCCAGUCAAGUUUCCCACGCUUGCUUGAUGUAUCAUGACCCUUUCAUGUGGACCCCUUAAAGCUGUAAGCCUAUAAAAAGGCCAAGAAUUUCUUUUUCCGGGAGCUUGGCUCUUAAGACGCAAGUCUGCUGAUGCUCCCAGCCAAAUAAAAACCUCUUCCUUCUUUAAUCUGGUGUCUGAGGACAUUUGUCUAUGGCUCAUCCUGCUACACUUGGAGUCUGCUCAACUCUGCAAGCACAGAUGGAAUCUACAGCCUAGCAAGCUCCACCGAGGCCUGAGCCCUGCCUGUGGACACAGCCAGCCCCCUCCUCCUGGUUGGACCAGUAGCUCAGACCAAAGCAGCAGCCCAGCUUCCCGGGCAGCAGUCUGGCCCACUCCUCUCCCUGACCCCCUCACCAGAGGCUGCUGCACCUGAAGGCCUGGGUUUCCAGCCCCUGGCUGCUGUCUCCCUGUUCUAAAGCUCAGGCCUCCAAAAGUGGCAGCAGCUCCCCUGACAGCCUUGCUGUGGCCAUGUCAGGUCCCAGAUACUCCUCUGAUCUCCACACAAGCAGAACAAGGAGGCUUCAUAAAGGAACUGCAGAAACCCUGCCUGUGUGCACAUCCCCAGACAGCCAAGAACUCAGAGGGAGGUGAUGC
rnacentral:lncRNA from 10 species